GACGAACGCUGGCGGCGUGCCUAAUACAUGCAAGUCGAACGCAGUGGGGACGGGUGAGUAACAAGUGGGUAACCUCCCAUCAGAGGGGAGAACACUUGGAAACAGGUGCUAAACCGAUACUGAUGGCUGAACCCGCGGUGCAUUAGAUAGUUGGUGAGGUAACGGCGAACCACGGCCACGAUGCAUAGCCGCCCUGUGAGGGUGAUCGACCACACCGGGAUUGAGACACGGCCCAGACUCCUACGGGAGGCAGCAGGAGGGAAUGUUAUGCAAUGGACGAAAGUCUGACCGAGCAACGCCGCGUGAGUUAAGAAGGUUUUCGGAUCGUAAAACUCUGUUGUUAGAGAAGCGGUAUCUAACCAGAAAGCCACGGCUAACUACGUGCCAGCAGCCGCGGUAAUUC
rnacentral:rRNA from 1 species